GAGAAAAGUGAAGGGGAAAUGGGAACUUUGAGGAGGGAAGAGAAGUAUCUCCCGAGAACCACCAGGGGAUGAAAUGACAGACCCACUCCCGCAGUGCAGAAGUCAAACAGAGACCUAUUGAUUGGUCCUGAUUGCAUGUUGGAGGGACUGUGUGUGUGUGUGUGUGUGCGUGUGUGUGUGUGUGUGUGUGUGUG